GAUGAACGCUAGCGGGAGGCCUAACACAUGCAAGCCGAGCGGUAUUGUUUCUUCGGAAAUGAGAGAGCGGCGUACGGGUGCGUAACACGUGUGCAACCUGCCUUUAUCUGGGGGAUAGCCUUUCGAAAGGAAGAUUAAUACUCCAUAAUAUAUUGAACGGCAUCGUUUAAUAUUGAAAGCUCCGGCGGAUAGAGAUGGGCACGCGCAAGAUUAGCUAGUUGGUGAGGUAACGGCUCACCAAGGCGAUGAUCUUUAGGGGGCCUGAGAGGGUGAUCCCCCACACUGGUACUGAGACACGGACCAGACUCCUACGGGAGGCAGCAGUGAGGAAUAUUGGUGAAUGGGUGCAAGCCUGAACCAGCCAUCCCGCGUGAAGGACGACUGCCCUAUGGGUUGUAAACUUCUUUUGUAUAGGGAUAAACCUACCCUCGAGAGGGUAGCUGAAGGUACUAGACGAAUAAGCACCGGCUAACUCCGUG
rnacentral:rRNA from 1 species